AUUGAACGCUGGCGGCAGGCUUAACACAUGCAAGUCGAGCGAGCGGCGGACGGGUGAGAAAUGUCGGGGAAAGUGCCUGGGGGAGGGGGAAAACUACUGGAAACGGUAGCUAAUACCGCAUACCAUCAGAUGCGCCCAGAUGGGAUUAGCUAGUAGGGGGGGUAAUGGCUCACCUAGGCGACGAUCCCUAGCUGGUCUGAGAGGAUGACCAGCCACACUGGAACUGAGACACGGUCCAGACUCCUACGGGAGGCAGCAGUGGUGAAUAUUGCACAAUGGGCGCAAGCCUGAUGCAGCCAUGCCGCGUGUGUGAAGAAGGCCUUCGGGUUGUAAAGCACUUUCAGCGAGGAGGCGUUACUCGCAGAAGAAGCACCGGCUAACUCCGUGCCAGCAGCCGCGGUAAUUC
rnacentral:rRNA from 1 species